AUUGAACGCUGGCGGCAAGCCUAACACAUGCAAGUCGAACGAGUGGCGGACGGGUGAGUAAUGUCUGGGAAACUGCCUGAUGGAGGGGGAUAACUACUGGAAACGGUAGCUAAUACCGCAUACCAUCGGAUGUGCCCAGAUGGGAUGAGCUAGUAGGUGGGGUAAAGGCUCACCUAGGCGACGAUCCCUAGCUGGUCUGAGAGGAUGAUCAGCCACACGGGAACUGAGACACGGUCCAGACUCCUACGGGAGGCAGCAGUGGGGAAUAUUGCACAAUGGGCGAAAGCCUGACGCAGCCAUGCCGCGUGUAUGAAGAAGGCCUUCGGGUUGUAAAGUACUGUCAGUGGGGAGGCGGUACCCACAGAAGAAGCACCGGCUAACUCCGUGCCAGCAGCCGCGGUAAUAC
rnacentral:rRNA from 1 species